GCUAAUUUGGCAGAUAAGUGCAGUGGAUUUAGAAUCUAUUUAUGUGAUUUCAUUUACACAUUUAGUA
rnacentral:tRNA from 1 species